rnacentral:rRNA from 1 species
GUUAGCGGCGGACGGGUGAGUAACACGUGGAUAACCUACCUAUAAGACUGGGAUAACUUCGGGAAACCGGAGCUAAUACCGGAUAAUAUGUUGAACCGCAUGGUUCAACAGUGAAAGACGGUCUUGCUGUCACUUAUAGAUGGAUCCGCGCCGCAUUAGCUAGUUGGUAAGGUAACGGCUUACCAAGGCAACGAUGCGUAGCCGACCUGAGAGGGUGAUCGGCCACACUGGAACUGAGACACGGUCCAGACUCCUACGGGAGGCAGCAGUAGGGAAUCUUCCGCAA